AUAAGAGGUCCCGCCUGCCCGGUGACUAUUAGUUUAACGGCCGCGGAAUUUUGACCGUGCAAAGGUAGCGCAAUCACUUGUCUUUUAAAUGAAGACCUGUAUGAAUGGCACCACGAGGGCUCAACUGUCUCCUUUCUCCUGUCAAUGAAAUUGAUCUCCCCGUGCAGAAGCGGGGAUUCUACCAUAAGACGAGAAGACCCUAUGGAGCUUUAGGCACCAGAACAGACUAUGUUAAGCACCCUUACACAAAAGACAAAACUAACUAGGCCCUGUUCCAAUGCCUUUGGUUGGGGCGACCGCGGGGAAACAAAAAACCCCCACGUAGACUAAGAGCACCCUCCACUCUUACAACCAAGGGCCACAACCCUAAGUAACAGAAUCUCUGACUAUAAACGAUCCGGUAUAACCGAUCAACGAACCGAGUUACCCUAGGGAUAACAGCGCAAUCCCCUUCUAGAGUCCAUAUCGACAAGGGGGUUUACGACCUCGAUGUUGGAUCAGGACAUCCUAUUGGUGUAGCCGCUAUUAAGGGUUCGUUUGUUCAACGAUU
rnacentral:rRNA from 1 species